rnacentral:rRNA from 1 species
CCUUAUACGACCGUACCGCAAACCGACACUGGUGCGCGAGAUGAGUAUUCUAAGGCGCUUGAGAGAACUCAGGAGAAGGAACUCGGCAAAUUGACACCGUAACUUCGGAAGAAGGUGUGCCCUAUUAGUGUGUAGUGAACAACCAAGCAUGAAUGGGUUGCAAAAAAUCGGUGGCUGCGACUGUUUAUUAAAAACACAGCACUCUGCAAACACGAAAGUGGACGUAUAGGGUGUGACGCCUGCCCGGUGCUGGAAGAUUAAAUGAUGGGGUGCAAGCUCUUGAUUGAAGUCCCAGUAAACGGCGGCCGUAACAAUAACGGUCCUAAGGUAGCGAAAUUCCUUGUCGGGUAAGUUCCGACCUGCACGAAUGGCGUAACGAUGGCCACACUGUCUCCUCCUGAGACUCAGCGAAGUUGAAAUGUUUGUGAUGAUGCAAUCUCCCCGCGGAAAGACGGAAAGACCCCAUGAACCUUUACUGUAGCUUUGUAUUGGACUUUGAACAGAUCUGUGUAGGAUAGGUGGGAGGCUUUGAAGCAGGGUCGCUAGAUCUUGUGGAGCCAACGUUGAAAUACCACCCUGGUGUGUUUGAGGUUCUAACCUAGGUCCAUUAUCUGGAUCGGGGACAGUGCAUGGUAGGCAGUUUGACUGGGGCGGUCUCCUCCCAAAGCGUAACGGAGGAGUUCGAAGGUACGCUAGUUACGGUCGGACAUCGUGACGAUAGUGCAAUGGCAUAAGCGUGCUUAACUGCGAGACUGACAAGUCGAGCAGAUGCGAAAGCAGGACAUAGUGAUCCGGUGGUUCUGUAUGGAAGGGCCAUCGCUCAACGGAUAAAAGGUACUCUGGGGAUAACAGGCUGAUACCGCCCAAGAGUUCAUAUCGACGGCGGUGUUUGGCACCUCGAUGUCGGCUCAUCUCAUCCUGGGGCUGUAGCCGGUCCCAAGGGUAUGGCUGUUCGCCAUUUAAAGAGGUACGUGAGCUGGGUUUAAAACGUCGUGAGACAGUUUGGUCCCUAUCUUCCGUGGGCGCUGCAGAUUUGAGGAAGCCUGCUCCUAGUACGAGAGGACCGGAGUGGACACACCUCUGGUGUAUCGGUUGUCACGCCAGUGGCAUUGCCGAGUAGCUAAGUGUGGAAGAGAUAACCGCUGAAAGCAUCUAAGCGGGAAACUCGUUUCAAGAUGAGAUCUGCCGGGGCCUUGAGCCCCCUAAAGAGUCGUUCAAGACCAGGACGUUGAUAGGUCAGGUGUGGAAGCUAA